CCUAGGACCCGUACUAUCAAGUGUUGCCAAACCCCGUCAGGACUGGAAGGUAGCAGCGGUAGGCGAUUUUUUUGGUGAGUACGCAAGUCUUAGGUUU
rnacentral:SRP_RNA from 2 species